rnacentral:tRNA from 1 species
GAAGCAAUAGUUUAACGGAAAAACACACACUUUUAAUGUGACUUGCGGGUUCGAAUCCAGCUUGCUUUC